AGGCUAUGGCAACAUUCUAACAAGUGAAUAUUGCGAUUGAUUAACUUUAUUGAGUUUUAGCAACAUUUUUUAAAUGAAUGUUGUCAAUGCCACUUUUGCGAUAAAUUUUACUUUUUGCAACGUUCUAAUGAACAUUACGAUAAGUUCAAUUUUAGCAACAAUCAAGUAAACGCUACAAAAGUCUCUCUUUUAACAACGUUCAUGUGAACGUUGGGAAAAGUUCUAUUUUAGCAACAUCCAUUUGAACAUUGCUAAAAGUAAAGCUUAAACUACACAACCCAAACCAGAAAGAAAAACUCGUCAAAAUGAUAUUCAGCCCUAGUUUUUUCUUCUUUGCUCGUCUCUGCCUCUCACUCCUCUCUCAUCACUUCCUCUCUUAUGUCGUUGUCUUUUGCCCAAGUAUUAUGUAACGCCGACCUUUUCUCCGGCGGCUCCACUGGUUUAUUUAUCUCCGAUUAAGUUUUCGUAUGAGGGCAGAGUGGGCAGUUUUUAUUGUCCCCAUCCAUGAUUGAUCGAAAAGGUUGUUGAGGCUUGUGGAGCUUUUAAGUUGAGUUCAUAUCAGGGGCUCGUGUCGCAGUGAGUUCUACUCAUCUUCUUCGUUACCAGACUCGAAGGUACUAUCAGAUUUCUUUGUGUAAAAACGGACUUUAUAUAUUGAUUUCAGACUCGCUUUGAUUGAUCAGAAGAUUUAAUUUUUGCACGUCGAUCUAAAAUUCGUCUAGCCUUUUUAGAAUUUAAUUUUCAAGCCAGAAUUGUUCUUUCUUGAUAGUAAUCUUCCUUGAGCAGUUUGAUUUUUAUUAGUAUUAUUUUUUUUCAUGGUUUUUACCCUGCCCGGCCCUCAAGUGUAAUCGGUGAAAUAUACCCGGACCAAAAUCCAGUGGGGCAACUUCUCUCAUUAAACCCCAUUGGGGGGGGGGGGGUAGUAAAGCUCUGUUGUGGAAUGAGUACCCAAUUUCCAAUCCAGAGAGUCAGACACGGAGGUGGAUAAUUGGUUUGAUAGAUACUCCAAGUCAACAUCGCAUUCUAA
rnacentral:lncRNA from 1 species